rnacentral:rRNA from 1 species
UACGAAGGGGGCUAGCGUUGUUCGGAAUUACUGGGCGUAAAGCGCGCGCAGGCGGCUAUCCAAGUCAGUGGUGAAAGCCCGGAGCUCAACUCCGGAACUGCCACUGAAACUGUUUAGCUUGAGGAUGAGAGAGGUGAGUGGAAUUCCCAGUGUAGAGGUGAAAUGCGUAGAUAUCGGGAGGAACACCUGUGGCGAAAGCGGCUCACUGGACCAUAACUGACGCUGAUGCACGAAAGCUGGGGGAGCAAACAGG